AGCGAACGCUGGCGGCGUGCCUAACACAUGCAAGUCGAACGUGAGCGGAGCAAUCCUAGUAAAGUGGCGUACGGGUGAGUAACACGUAGGUAAUCUACCUUACAGUCUGGAAUAACCUGACGAAAGUCGGGCUAAUACUGGAUAGAGCGACGGAAGCCGUAACGGUUUUUUCGGGAAAGGGAGCUCGAUAAGAGCCUUCGCUGUAAGAUGAGCCUGCGUCUGAUUAGUUAGUUGGUGGGGUAAUGGCCUACCAAGACGAUGAUCAGUAGCUGGUCUGAGAGGAUGAUCAGCCAAACUGGAACUGAAACACGGUCCAGACUCCUACGGGAGGCAGCAGUGGGGAAUCUUGCGCAAUGGACGAAAGUCUGACGCAGCCACGCCGCGUGAGUGAAGAAGGCCUUCGGGUUGUAAAGCUCUGUCACCUGGGACGAAAACACUUACGGUUAAUAGCCGUAGGAAUUGACGGUACCAGGGGAGGAAGCACCGGCUAACUUCGUGCCAGCAGCCGCGGUAA
rnacentral:rRNA from 1 species